rnacentral:rRNA from 1 species
AUACGGAGGGUGCGAGCGUUGUUCGGAAUUAUUGGGCGUAAAGAGCAUGUAGGCGGUCUGUUAAGUCUGGUGUGAAAGCCCGGGGCUCAACCCCGGAAGUGCAUUGGAUACUGGCAGACUUGAGUAUGGGAGAGGAAAGCGGAAUUCCGAGUGUAGGAGUGAAAUCCGUAGAUAUUCGGAGGAACACCAGUGGCGAAGGCGGCUUUCUGGACCAAUACUGACGCUGAGAUGCGAAAGCGUGGGGAGCGAACAGGAUUAGAGACCCCAGUAGUCC